AUUGAACGCUGGCGGCCGGCCUAACACAUGCAAGUCGAGCGGAGUGGCGGACGGGUGAGUAAGGCCUAGGAAUCUGCCUGGUAGUGGGGGAUAACGUCAGGAAACGGGCGCUAAUACCGCAUACAAUCAGACGAGCCUAGGGCGGAUUAGCUAGGUGGGGGGGUAAAGGCCUACCAAGGCGACGAUCCGUAACUGGUCUGAAAGGAUGAUCAGUCACCCUGAAACAGAGACACGGUCCAGACUCCUACUGGAGGCAGCAGUGGGGAAUAUUGGGCAAUUGGCUAAAGCCUGAUCCAGUCAUGCCGCGUGGGUGAAGAAGGUCUUCGGAUUUUAAAGCACUUUAAGUUGGGAGGCGUUACCAACAGAAUAAGCACCGGCUAACUUCGUGCCAGCCGCCGCGGUAAUAC
rnacentral:rRNA from 1 species